GACAGAGGGUGCAAACGUUGCUCGGAAUUACUGGGCGUAAAGCGCGUGUAGGCGGACCGGAAAGUCGGGCGUGAAAUCCCUGGGCUCAACCCAGGAACUGCACUCGAAACUUCCGGUCUUGAGUGGUGGAGAGGGUAGUGGAAUUCCUGGUGUAGAGGUGAAAUUCGUAGAUAUCAGGAGGAACACCGGUGGCGAAGGCGGCUACCUGGACACCAACUGACGCUGAGACGCGAAAGCGUGGGGAGCAAACAGG
rnacentral:rRNA from 1 species